AGUCGCACCUCUUUCUCCUCCUACUUUUCCUUCGGGUAGAGCCGGCUGCUGGGAUUUGCAGUUCUGUGGGCGGAGCAAAUUUGCGCGAAAGGUAUAAAAAGGUGCAAAGAUUUCAAACCAAAAUGAAACUAUCGCUGGACACGAUCAUAAUGGCCAAGGGAGAGAUGUGGAAAUUAGUUUCUUGGAAAGGAAGAUAGUGGAGAAAAGAAGACAGGAAAGCAAAAGAUUCUUAGGCAAAACUGAGUCUACUGUAAGUAUCUCAAUAAUGUUUUUAUUUACUGAAGCACAAAAGAUGACCAAGCAUAUUCCUACAUUUUGUUUGCUGACUCAUCCAGAAAAAGAGAUGGAAAAUAAAGAAAACAAAGAUAAAAUAUAUGAAAUCCUAGGCACUAAAUUGUGUAUGAUUCCAACUUGUCCCCAUUAUUCCAAAUGCUAAUAUUAAAUUUAAUAUUAUUCUUAAUAGAUUUAUAUAAUGCAAAAUGUAAAUGAAAAAAAUUAAGGGGCAGGGAGAAAAAAUAUUUCUGGAAAGUUUCUCUUGAAAUUAUGAUAUUUUUGCUAAUAUCAGAUUAAUUUAUUGUACAGAUAGUAUACUAUUAGUUUUAACUAACUUUGAAGAAAAGAAUUCAUAGCUUCAUUUCCCCUCCUAUGAAUUCCUGAAUAGUAGAGGAAAAUUAAAUUAGUAUGGACCCAAACUGGGUGUAUACUACAAACUGGGUAAUACUAUAAGCCAACAAAUGUGUGCUGAUUAGAAUGCUUUUUGCUAGCAUCACACAAUAACAGCAGAAUAUUUAUGUAUGCCUUAAGUGUACAUGAUACAGAUAGUAAGUGACUGAUUAACUAUCCUUUACAUAGUAAUAUUCAAAGGUGAUAGAUAAUCAAUUAAUUUGAAUAGCAUAUAAGUACUAGUAAAGAAUGAGUAUCACUUUAAGAUCGUUUCUCUCAGUUGAAACUGAAUACUGCUGGUAUAUUUUUAUGAUAAACAAUUGUAUUCUAUCUCAAGGAGACCUUAUAAAUAAUUACAUUAUGAUGGGGGAGAAAUUUCUGUCCUCCACCUGGAUUUUCUCUCUAAUCCAUUUUUCUUUUUCUGGUAUUCUUGCCCCUUCCCCAAUUUUUCCCUCUCCCAAUCAUGCUUUAUUGAUUCUUUUGUGGUACUGAAAGCUGCAGUAAGCUAUAUAUACUCAGAUUGAACUUCCCUUUGUCAGUCAAGCUGUUUUCAUGUUAUAUCCCGCAAGACUAAGCUAUGGCAUCAGCAACUGUGAAAUGUACCGCCAUUGGGUAUUUAAAGCAAAACAGAGCAAUUACAGUGUGGGUAUAUUCAAAUUAAAAAAAUGACACUGUGCAUAGAGCCUGAUAUUGAUUUUUCAAAUUUUUGCCUUGCUCCUGUGUAACUUCUUGCAGUGGAGUGGAAAGGUGAUUUUUUUUGGAUGGAAGCUUCUCCUUUCCUGCUUCUGAAUAAUUGCUUCACAUUUGCAUCCAGAGGGACUUGGCUGGAGGCAGAAUGACAACCUGAAAUGUUCUUAUAGAUUUCAAUUUCUUUAUCAUUGUGCUUAAGUGUUAAAUCUAGGAUUUUCUGCAGGCCAGUUGAACGCUAACAGGUUCCAAAUGAUGGAAGCAGAUUUUCCAUUUAUGCUAGGCAGAGAAUCAAGAUGAUGAUAGGGAUUUGCAAAUGACAAAGGAAAACAGAAGAUUUGAACAAAGGAUUGUACUAUUAAAGUAGCAAUGCCAAGGCAGACUUGGUAAAUAUCCUUGAUGAAAAUAAGUCAGCCAUGGGAAAAUACUGUUUCUCUUUUGCAUUUGUUAGGGGACCUGUCUGUUUUUCUCCAGGAAUAGAAACCGAUAGAGUAAUAUCUUUGAAAAAUGGAAGGCUGAUAAUUAUUUGCUAUUCCUUCAUCAUAGCAAUCUGAGCGAACCUUAGAUGUGAAUGGGAAGGUUCUAGAAAAGUUUAAAAUUUUCUACUCAGCAACAGGCUCAUUGAGCAUGUGCGGGAAAACCUGAGUACGUGCCUGGAACUAGGUAUGG